CUGCAGUUCAAAAAUAUUAAAUGGAAAAUUCCAGAAAUGGACAGAUCCUAAAUUUUAAACUGGGUUAUGGGAAGCCAUUCUCGCAUGUGAUUGGGCACCUCCCUGACUGGGUGUGAGGCGUUCUGGCUAAACUGUGUCGAACUAAUCCCCACCCUCUCUAGGUGUGAGAGCCCAUCCGUGUGGGGGUGUGACUGACCAUUGACCCUGAGACCAAUCACUGACCCUGACCUUGGAAUGCUGUCCCCCUUGACCUUCAUUGGAUGGAAUUUUCCCCUGAAUUUCUUGUUCCCCAAUAAAAGGCCACUCCCUGGCGUGCUCUCUCUCUCUCUCCUGCUGGUCCUGAGUAAGCCUCGCUGCCCCACCAGGUGGCUCGAGGCAGGAGCCAGAGGGAGGGCCGUCU
rnacentral:lncRNA from 1 species